UUAAAAUAACGAGUGUAUGAUAGAAUUUAUGCAACAGAACAAAAUCAUUAUAAAUCCCUUACAAAUACAUAUGAGUUCUAAUACAUACAUACACUGAGGCCAAAAGUGGUUGCAAAAUAAAAAAACAAAACAUAAGGGUCAUUUUCUUCACUAUGAUAUUGGACUCAUCGGAGUGCAGGAACAGUCAUGCACUCAGACUUGUGGAUCCAUGGGAUCCUCAUAGACUUCCAAGGGUAGGUCAGCUUCCGGUUCUUCACUUUUUUUCUCAUCUAGAGGCGGGGGCAUAGAAAGAGUGAAUUUCAUAUACUCAGUAAUGAAAACAGUAUUAAAUUAAUACCGUAAGAUUUCAAGAGUUAAUUAUUUUAUCUUACCAUUUAACAUCCUUGUUUACCUAUCUCAUAUUAUGGAAAAUUAUUUAUUUGUUAAGAAAACGAUACAUUAAUACAGAAAAUCAAACAUACAUCAUGCCAGAUAAUAGAGAAAAUUAAAUAAAUCGUGAAAUGUUCAAAUUUUCAUGUCAUGCUUCGUGAAGUCAUUACAACUUCAAUCUUUGAGGGCAGAUACAGAUUUCUAACUACCCGAGUAGAAUGACCAUAUUAGAUAUAGAUACAGCAUAACAGAUAUCUACAAUCACGAUAUUACUUAGUCUUGGGUGACCCUUACAGAUAAUGCGACACCACUCUCAUCAGAGGGUAUGUCGUUAUCCACUAGGAGCGUUCCUCUUACGUCUUUUUAGACAAGAUAGGGGAGGGGGAAACAGAUACCCCUCAGAGAUAAAAAUUCUAACGAGACAAUUGGUGCAAUAUGAUGUCAAUACAAAUACACUUUGAACCAAACAAGCUUCAUUCCACUUUUCUUUUUUUUUUCUUUUGUACUUUUUACUUUUACCUAUUACAUAUUAUAUUUAUUACAUGCAAAUUCAUUAAGUGUCUGCAAUUCACAUAACAUGCUUAAAACUCAGAAAAAUUCGACUCAUUUGAACACAGAGGCAUACAAAAUAGGCAAAAUAACAAUCAUAUUAAAUUAGUUUAUCUAAAAAUAUUCCUUAAGAUGUCAAAAGAAAUACUAGAUUUCUUAUCGAAACAUUGAUGUUUUCUCCUUCACCAUUCUCCUUUCUUUCUUUUCUUCCCUCAUUAGACUACUAUCUCUCUUUCUCUAAACCUUUGAAAAAUUGAAGAAUGAAAGUGUGGAGAGGAAGAAGGGGGAGGAAUAUUUAUAGAGUUUUAGAACCGUUGGAUUCGUGCUAAGUAGCGAAAUCCAGUGAAGAGAGAGGAAAAAAAGAUGCUCGACACAAAAAAUAAAGGAGGAGGGCUCCUCCACCGUCGGUGGUGGUGCGUCGCCCAAGGCAGCAGUGGUGCACUGCUGGCUAGCCUACAGGCGCACAAAAAUCCUGUCAUGCGCAUAGGGGCUAGCCUGCGUGCGCGUAGGGCCCAAGCGCAUUGGGCACUGUGCACGCAAGCCCCAGGCGCAUAGGUCCUAUCUUUGCAGGCCUGUUAUGCGGACGGCAUGCGCACAGUGUGCGGCGCCUGUCCACGCGCGAGGUGACGCAUGGACAGCCCGCCUGCGCGCGACAGGACGCGCGCAAGUUUUGACCCCUCACCAUGUGCGCGGAGUGGACGUGUGCACUGUGCGCACGUCUUGUCUACGUGCACGCACGCACAUCUCGUGACCACUGUGCGCGCAUAUGCGCGCAAACAGUGCUCAACACUCGCACUGGUAACCAGACUCAUCGCGAGAUUUUUUCCAUGGGAUUUUCUUCCCAAUUCGUCGUUUUUUUUAAUUUUUUUCUCAAUUUUCAUAUUUAAUUUAAAUCAGUUAGAAUAAAAUUAUUUAAAAUAAAUUAAAUUAAAUUAAAUAAAUAAAAAUCAACCAAAAUUACGAAUUAUGAUAAAUAUUAAGCAAUGUAAAUUAAUUAAGUUUAACGCAGCCAAAGGCCCGAAUAAAAGGGUUUCCAAAUCAUUUUAGCACAGUGAUGGGUGGGAUAUUACAAUCUAAAUGCAUCUUAGAGUUUAGCAUAAUUGAUAACACACUACCUCUUUCUUCGUGUGUUACACUCUUACUUCUAGUAUUGGUGCGGUAUUUGUUCUAUAGGACUCCUUGCAGUAUUUUAAAAUAAUAUUUGAGAACACUUUUAUUCAAGAGAAUAUAUUUGACACUCAACUUGAGGGUGGGAGAUAAAAAGGUAAAAAGCAAUAAUGUGUGAGAAUAUCAAACGGUAAAAGCCAAGUGAGUAAAACACGAGAGACCAGUGAAGAAUCUUUAUUUGUUAUUACUAACCUCUUUUACAGGGAACUCUUUUCUAAAGAUGUAAAGCAAGCACCAAAGCCCCAUCGACAUAAUACUCUUUAUGGAGGCUAUGCAAGCAAAACUGAGACAACUCAAUAAAAAGAUGGAUAAUCUAAUUGGUGGCCAAAGUGAGGAAAGGCACGGGACUGCAAACACCAAACAGCCUAGGACUCAACACCAUGAUGAUGAGGUCGGGUCCUGUAAUGAUGAGGAGGAAGAUAGGGCGGAGAAGAGAGAAGAAAAAAGGAAUAGUAAUAUCAACUCCAUCAAGAUGAUAAUACGACCUUUCAAUGGUAGAAAUGAUGCUAAAGCAUAUUUGGAGUGGGAGAAGAAUGUAAAACUAGCCUUUGACUGCCACAACUACCACGAGGAAAAGAAGAUCAAACUAGCAGCGGUAGAGAUCACUGACUAUGCCUUAGUGUGGUGGGAUCAACUACUCCUCAUUAGACGGCAUAAUGGAGAACGACUAAUAUCCUCAUUGAGAGAGAUAAAAGCAAUCAUGUGAAAAAGUUUGUACCCACUUACUACUAAAAAGAGAUACAUCAAAAGUCACAGCGUUUAACGUAGGAGUCUAUGUCCGUUGAGGACUACCACAAGGAGAUAGAGAUGGUUAUGAUCAGGGAAAAUAAAGAAGAAGAUCCUAAAGUAACUAUGGCGAGAUUCCUCGGAGGUCUCAAUAGGGACAUUGUUAACAUGGUGGAAUUACAACACUAUGUGGAGGUGGAGGACAUGGUCCACAUGGCCAUAUAGAUUGAGAGACAACUACAGAGUAAAGGUAAGAGAAUAUUCCAUACUACUUCUACCUUUAACUCAAGAUGGCUGAAGAAUGAGGAAAAGAAGGGAGUUGAGUCAACAAUCUAUGGUUACAUGCUCCCACUUCCACUCAGGAAUUUGGAGGCCUUGUAACAAACGAUCAGCUCUCUAAUGUUUUGCCUUAGUCCUCUUGCUGGUGAGGCAUUGGGAGAUGUAGUCGACUAUGUAUUUCUUUAUUCCCGGUCACCAGUAUUAACGCAUUAAGUCUCAAUACAUCUUGAUACUCCUGGAAUGGAUGGGUAGCUUGGAAGCAUGGGUGGUCUUGAGAACAUCUGCCCUUACAACGACAGGGACCAAAUUCAGUUUCAAAAUCUAAACAAUCCAUCAUCUGAAAUUCUAAAAUUAAGAAAUUUAUUAGAGGAGAACUUACCUAAAUUCUUGGUGAGUUUUUGGUCCGUGGACUAAGCUUCCCAGAUUUUCAUAAAGAGAUCCGACAGGGCUCAGAUUUGAGCAAGAUAGGUGUCUUUGUCAUAGUAGCUAAGGCAGAGAGACUGCAUAGUAUCCAUCAAUUUCCAAGUGGAGGCCAUGGUUUGGGCCAAUACUAUAGACUUCUUUUGACUUAGCACAUCUGCAACAACAUUUCCUCUACUGGGGUGAUAGAUGAUCUUACAAUCAUAGUCCUUCAGAAGAUCCACUCAGCAUCUCUGUCUCAUAGUUAACUCCCUCUAGAGAAGAUGUACUUCAAAAUCUUAUGGUCAGUAUAAAUCUCGAAAGUUUGACCAAACAGGUAGUGACACCAUAUCUUUAGGGCAAAAAUGAUGGUCGUCAACUCUAGGUCAUGGGUAAGGUAGUUUCGCUCAUGAGGUUUCAACUGUCGGAAUCCAUAAGCAACUACUUUACCAUACUGCAUCAAGACACACUCUAAGCUAAUAUGAGAUGCGUCACAAUACACCUGAAAUCUUCUAAUAUUGUUAGGAAGGAUCAAUACAGGAGUAGAUGUGAAACGAUGCUUCAAUUCCAUGAAGCUUUCAUUGCAUUCGUAAUUCUAAACAAAUGGUACACUCUUUCAGGUGAGUCGAGUCAAUAAAGCGACAAUCUAAGCAAAUCUGUCAAUGAAUCAUGGAUAGUAACCUACCAAGCUAACGAAACUACGUACCUCAGCCACAUUAGUGGAUGGAGUCUAGUUGACCACUAUUUCAACCUUGGAUGGAUCUACAAAAACUCCUUCACUCAAAAUUACAUGACCAAGGAAGGAAACUUGAUCCAACCAGAAGGAGUAUUUGCUAAGUUUAGCAUACAAUUGGUUCCGGCGAAGGGUCUCUAACACUUCAGUCAAGUGUACUGGAUGCUCCUCCAGACUCUUAGAGUACACUAAGAUGUCAUCAAUAAAAAAGAUGACGUACUAAUCUAGUGCAUGCUAGAAAAUUAUGUUUAUGAGGUCCGAGAAGGUUGCAAAGGCAUUGGUUAACUUGAACGGCGUUACCCUGAAUUCGUACAAACUGUACCUACACUAGAAAGCAGUCUUCAGAAUAUCUUAUUCCUUGACUCUCAGCUGGUAAUAUCUCAUUCUGAGGUCAAUCUUAAAGAAGACUGUAGCUCCUUACAAUUGAUCAAAGAGGUGGUCGAUCCAAGGUAAGGAGCACUUACUUUUAACUGUCACUAGGUUGAGUUCCUGGUAGUCCACACAAAGUCUGAGGAAACCAUCUUUCUUUUUCACGAACAAUAUGGGAGCGCCCCAAGGAGAAUGACUAGGGCGGAUAAACAUCCAGGUAAUUAGUUCAGAAAGCUGAUUUUCUAACUCCGUAAGUUCAGCUUGAUUCAUACGAUAUGCGGGCUUCGAGAUUGGUUGGGUUCUGGGCAGCAGUUCAAUUAGGAACUCUACUUCUCGUGGGGGAGGCAAACUAAGAAGUUCAAUGAGAACGACAUCUGAAAAAUUGCAAACAAUCGGUAUAGAACACACAGCAGGAUCAACACCCAUAUUCUUAUUUAUUCAAUUGUUAGGAAAAAUAAUAACAAUAGAUUUUAUUCCUUUUUCACGGACCGCAAAGUUAUAAUUUUACUUUCACAAUCGCUUAUUGCUUUAUACUUUUCUAACCAGUCCAUUCUUAAUAUCACAUCAAAUCCUGAAAAAUUUAACAAUAUUAUAUUCACAAAUACUUCUAUCUCUGAAACUUUUAUCUUAUAAUCUUUAUAUACACAGUGAGCUGCUAAUAGUCCCCUAGAGGAAGUUUCUACUAUUAAUAUUUUUGCUAAAGGUUCUGGCCUAAAAUCAAGAUUACAAGUAAAUGCACAGGAAAUAAAAGAGUGAGUAGCACUUAUAUUGAUCAAAGUCUUGGCAGAAGUAUCAUGAAUAGAAAGCAUACCCUGAAUAAGAACAGGAGUGGGGAGAGCAGCAGGUUCAUCUAGGUGGUACACACAAGCUUGUGCUACAAGCUUGGUUAUGUCCUUCGGUCGUUGGGGGUAAUCUUUUAUAAGAUGUUGGGUGCUUCAGCACCAAUAAUAGGCGUGAUUGAUAUGUCGACAUGGCAAGUCACCAUGCGAGUGACCACAAUGCUGACAGGGUUGGUUAGGUCAGGCAAGCUGAGCUACAGGUGAAGUCAAGGUAGGGGAAAUGGCAACUCUAAUUCGUUUAUUGAGGUGGCUACUUACUGGAUCUGGCAAUCUCCUUCUAGGCCGUUAGGGUUGUUGUUCUUGGGCAUGUGAAAUGAGGUCUUCAGCCAAUUAGGCAUGUUCUAGCACCUUCGCAUAUGAGCUGGGUCUCAGCAUUGCAACCCAACCAUUGAUAUCAGCACGAAGGCCCUUUAGAAACUUCCUAGCUUUUUUACUUUCAGGGGGUGACCAUUAAAGAGGUGAAUCUAGAUAGUUGGACAAAACGGGCUGCAUACUAGGCAAUCGUUAGGUUUUUUUGGCGAAGAUUCUAAAAUUUCUACUCCUUUUUUUCCCAAACAUAGGCAGGAAAGAAAUUAUCACAGAAUGCACCCAUCAAAACUUCUAAGGUGGUAGGGGUAGGAAGUAUUUCCUUGUUAAGUCGUCACUAGUGUUCUGCUUCACUGUUUAGCAUAAAGGCUGCUAGGAAAACUUUAUGUUCCUCAGUUAGGUCUAAGAGAGAGAAAAGUUUUUCUAUCUAUAGGAUCUAGACUUCGGCUACUAAGGGAUCAGGGCCACCUUCGAAAUGAGGCGGGUUAAGCUUCCUAAACUCCACUAUGUUGUGGGAAAUGGACCUUUCAGUCAUUUGGUAUUCUGGGGCAGGAGGUGGAUAAGGGUUGGCUUGAUUUUUUCCUACGGUUGCAAUCAAUUUCUGGACGGUUAUGAAAAGUUCGGCAAAUUCAGCCUUGGUCGAGUGAUCUAGGGUUUCAGAUCGCUCAGUACGCUCUACGAAUGGUCUUCCUUGCGUCAUUCCUAUAAAAGAAAAGAAGAUACGAGUUAGUGGUCUGAUUUUUACAAAUAGGACUUAUUCUUCCUAGGUACUCUAAGGGUCUUUCGACCUAAGGCCUCAGUGUAAGGGAUUUGAUCCAUGUAAUUCUGCUCUAAUACCAUCUGUGACAUUCCAAAUGCUAAUUAAGGCAUGUGGGUAUCAAAUACAGAAAUAGAAUUAUGAGUGCAUGAUAAAAUUUUAUAUAGCGGAAUAAAUUAAUACAUAUCCUUUACAAAUAUAUAUGAGUUCCAAUUACAUAUAUAUAAUUGAGGCUAAAAGUGGCUACAAAAUACAAAAUCAAAAUAUAAAAGAGGGUAACUUCUUUCAUUACACUAUUGGACUCAUCAGAGUGCGGGAACAAUCAUACACUCAAGUUUUGUGGAUCCACGGGAUCCUCAUAAACUUCAAUAGGUAAGUCAGCUGGCAGUUCCUCAUUUUAUUCCUCGUCGGGGGNNNNNNNNNNNNNNNNNNNNNNNNNNNNNNNNNNNNNNNNNNNNNNNNNNNNNNNNNNNNNNNNNUCGGGGGGGGGGGAGGGGGAGGGCAUGAGAAGAGUGAGUUCUAUAAAGCUCAGUAAAAAAAAUAAUAUUUAAAUAAUAUCGUAAGGUUUUAAAGGUGAAUUAUUCUAACAUAAAUACUUAUCAUUUGGUUAUUUCGAAGACCUAUCUUAUAUUAUGAAAAUAAUUUAUUAAUUAGAGAAAAUAAUAUGUUAAUAUAAACUAACACACAUCAUACCAGAUAAUAGAGAAAAUCAAAUAAAUUAUGAAAUGCUCAGAUUUUUGUGUCAUGCUUCACAAAGUUAUUAUAACUUCCAUCUCUGAAGGCAGAUAUAGAUUUCUGACUACCCAUAUAGAAUGACCAGAUUAGAUACGGAUAACGAUAAUUUACUCAGGCACAUUUCCACUUAGCCAAACCAUGGUACGAUCUAUGAUCUACGACCACGACCGUACAAACUAUAGUGGCCCUAUCAGAUUUCUAUAAUCACGAUAGUACAUUUCCACUUAAUAAUUUUUGUUGUGUGCUCGUUCCGAGCCUGUUGUGCACCCAUGCGCGCGCACAAUUCACAAGUGCCCACACGGAGAGCACCCCUUUCUCGCUGGAUUUUCCCACGAGAUUUCUUCCACUUUGCCGUUUUUUUCUAAAUUCAUUUUUAAUCGUACUAAAAUAAAGUAAAAAUAAAAUUAAUGUAAUUAAAAUAAAAUUAAAUAGAAUUAAUUAAAAAUAAAAAUUUAAAUAAUAUAAAAAUAAUUAAAAUCGGUAUAAUUCACAAAUUACAAUAAUAACUUGUGGAAUAAAUUAAAUGAGUUUAAUGCGGCCUAAAGGCCUAAAAAAAUAGGAUUUCUUUGAAAUCAAUUAAGUACAGUGAUGGGUGGGGUGUUACAGUAGGACUCUACUUCUUUUGUUUUUUCUUUUCUCCCUUUAUCCACAUACUUUUUAUUCCAAUGAGGAUUCUUCUUGAUGAUCGCCUAGAAAAAAGAAGUACAGCUUGAGAAUAACUCUUUCUGUUGUAAAAACAACCUCUCUCACGUGUGAGGGAACCUUGCGGGUGGGGUUGCCCCUCCUACACAUGUGUUUGCCCACACAUGUGAACAAGGACAUUUACAUGAGUGGCAUGUGAGAUCUGUGACUUUCCUUGGCUGGUCUACCUUUAUUUGACCUUCUCUUAGGCCUCCCAAGUGAGCUCAUCAGUUACCCAUUAUUGGACCAAUAAGUUGAAAAAUAGUUAAAACUUCACCCAACUCCUCAAGAUUGGGCUUAGGGGCAUUUAGAUCCUGCUUCCUAACUCUCAAAGAUCAUCUUGAUUAUUUUUGGGCUGCCUUUGGACUUGAGAUGGAUUAGAAAAUAAUAAUGAAUUAGGAAAUGAGUUAGGCUCCAAGUAGGUUUUCACUCUAGUGCUUGGGCCAGGAGUCUCUAAAGAAGGAAAGAAAUCCUUGUGGGAUUGGGAUUCUUCACGAAAAUUCUUCUCGAUACUGUCUGCGGGUACGCGAGGGUUUUCAAUUCUACGAGGUAACUCCUUUUUCAUGUUCAAAUUCAAAUAAUUCCCCCUUCUUUGAAAAAAAUUCAUCCUUGAAUCUUCACCUAUAUCAAAAAAAGAUAGAUUUGAAACAUUAAAAGUAGUAAACACUCAAUCCUCACCUGGUAGGUCAAUCUUGUAAGCAUUGUUGUUGAGUCAUUCCAAGACUUGAAAUGGCCCAUCACCCUUAGGAUCUAAUUUAGAUUUUCGUUAUUUAGGAAAUCUUUUCUUCUGCAUAUAAAUCGAAACCUAGUUCUUGGUUGGAAGACAACCCAUUUUCUCCCCUUGUUAGCAUUAUGGGUAUAAGAUUCAUUUCGCUUCUGGAUGUGUUGUCGUACCUUCUCAUGUAUAGUUUUAAUAAGGUUGGCUCUUUGCUGGCCAUCUGUAUUCUUAAUUCCAACAAAGGUAUAGGCAUUAGAUCAAGCAAAGUUAAUGGAUUACAACCAUAGACAAUUUCAAAAUGUUAAAAUCUUGCAGAGGUAUGAAUGCUACAGUUAUAUACAAACUCAACUGUAGGUAAACAAUCUUCCUAAAUUCUCAUAUUUUGACCAACUACAACCCUUAUAGAGAAUCUAAGGUUCUAUCGACCACCUUAGUUUGGUAAUCUACUUGGGGGUGACAUGUAGUGGAAAAUAGUAUUUCAGUCCCUAGUUUACCUUAUAACACUCGCCAAAAGUGGAUAAGGAACUUGGCAUCCCUAUCACUUAUGAUAGUCUUGGGAAUGUCGUAUAGCCUCACAACAUCCCUAAAGAACAAAUUAGUAAUAUUUGUCGCAUCAUGAGUCUUAUGGCAAGCAAUGAAGUAUGUCAUUACUAAAUCUGUCCAUUACGAGAAAUAUAUUCUCACUACCUCUCCUCAUUCUAGGUAGACCCAAAGCAAACUAUAUGAAAAUAUAUAUUCAAGGUGUUAUAGGUCAAACCUAGAUUUAGUUUUCCUACAUGCAAUACAUUAGCUACAUAUGCACUAACAUCAUUUUCAUGUUAUGCCAAAUAAAAAUACUCGUGUAGAAUAUUAAAGUCUUGUACCCAAAAUAACUCGUGCGUCGCCUAAUAUGUGUUUCACGAACUAGCAAUUCUCUAAGUAAACAAAUAGGCACAACAUAGCUUACUUUCCUUAAGAAGGAAACCAUCAUAUUUAUAAAACUUUUGGAAUGCAUAAUGCUCACAUACAUGAUAAACAAGGAAAAAAUCUUUAUCAUUCACAUAUAUAACUUUGAUAUGUUCAAAUCCUAAGAAUUUAAAACUUAAUGUAGCAAUUAAAGCAUACAUUCGAGACAAUGCAUCAACAACAAUAUUAUCUUUACCAUGUUUAUACUUGAGGACAGAAGAGAAUGACUUGAUGAACUUUACUCACUUACCAUGUCAACGGUUGAGUUUACCUUGGUCCUUUAGAUGCUUUAAGGACUCAUGAUUAAUGUGAAUCACAAAUUUCUUCGAUAGUAGGUAAUAUUGCCAUACCUCUAAUGAUCUUACCAAGGCAUACAACUCCUUAUCAUAGGUUGAGUAAUUUAGUAGCGCACCACUAAGUUUUUGCUAAAAUAGGAUACCGAACGCCCUUCUUACAUUAGAACUGCUCUACUACCCACACCUAAAGCGUAACAUUCAAGCUCAAAAGUUUUAUUAAAUUUAGGUAAAGAAAGAAUAAGUGCAUAAAAUAGUUAUUCUCUUAAUAAAGUAAAAAUAGAUUCCUGUUUUUAGUCCAUACAAACUUUACAUCUUUCUUAAAAAAUUCAUUUAAUGGGGUUGCAAUGGAACUAAAAUCUUUAACAAACCUGCAAUAAAAGCUUGUCAACCAAUGGAAUCUUUUUACCCCAUUGGUUGUUGUUGGAGUAGGUCUGCUUUCACUUUAUCCUCAUCCACCUCAAUGUUUGUGCACUUACCACAAACCCUAAAAAUAUUAAUUUAUCACUGCAAAAAGUCCAUUUCUUAUCAUUAAAAUAUAACUGCUCAUUCCUAAGAACCUUAAGGACAGACUGGAUAAUAUUGGAGGUACUCCUUUAAGGACUUACAAUAUAUUAGGAUAUCAUCAAAGUAAACUACAAUAAAUUUACCAAUGAACGGUUGUAGGACAUAGUUCAUAAGUUUCAUAAAGGUACUAAGGGCAUUUGACAUACCAAAGGGCAUUAUUAAUCAUUCAUAUAGAUCAUACUUCAUCUUAAAUGUGGUCUUCCAUUUGUCCCCCAGUUUCAUCCUAAUUUGACAAUAACUAUCUCUUAAUAUCUAUUUUAGUAAAAAUAAAAGAAACACUAAGUUCAUCCAACAUAUCAUCCAGCCUAGGGAUGGGGUAUCUAUACUUUACUAUUAUUUUAUUGAUGACUCUGCAACCAACACAUAUCCUUCAAGAACCAUCCUUAUUAGGUGUUAGUAGCAUAGGAACAACACAAGGGCUCUAGUUUUCUCUAACAUGUCCCCUUCUUAACAACUUCUUUACUUAUCAUUGAAUUUCCUUCAUUUCCUCAAGGUUACUUCGAUAGACAGAACGAUUUAAAAUUGAUGCUCCAGGGACAAAAGUCAAGCUAGUGCUCUAUCCUUCAGAGUGGUAGAAGAUCAUCUAGGAUUUUCUCUAAAAAGACAUCCUCGAACUCCUAUAAAAAAAAGGAAACAAGACUAGACAAUGAAGAGGUUAAGGUCAGAUAAGUUUAAAUAAGCCUCUUUAUACUGAAGCACAAUUAGACUCUUUUUCUCAUAAAUUACUCGCCUCACCUCUCAUGCAGUCAUAAAAAGACUUUUUUUUCUUUUCUUUCUCUCACUUUCUCUCAUGGGCCUUUAUUCUUUUUUCUUUUAGGUCUCUUUUUCACUCAGUGGGUCAUUCUUUUUUCUUUCAAUCUCUUUCUCUCUCAAUGGGUUAUUCUCAAUUUUUUUCAGCUUCUUUUUCUCUUAAUGGGUCAUUUCUUUUCUUUUCAGCCUCUUUUUUUCUCAGUGAGCCAUUUUUUUUCUUUUCAACCUCUUUUCUUUCUUUUUCUAUUUUUUGUUCUAAAUGUACAUUAAUAGCUCUCUUGACCUUGAUUUGAUCCUUAUGUACCCCUUUUAGUGAUAGAGGUGUAAAAAUAUGAUUUAGACUUUUUUACGUAACGAGUAACAGUUGGUGAAACCGUUAUGUUGUACUUGUCUAUCAAACUACUAAGAUCUCCUAACUAUCAAAUGACUGGCAUACAUAGGUACAACAUCACAACAUACCUCAUUCUUAUAUUUGUUGAUGGAGAAAGAUACCAUGACUUACUUCGUGACUUUGACUUCACCACACUCAUGUCACCAGUGUAAUCAGUAAGGACUAUGGUGCUUAGUGCAUGUUAACUCCAANNNNNNNNNNNNNNNNNNNNNNNNNNNNNNNNNNNNNNNNNNNNNNNNNNNNNNNNNNNNNNNNNNNNNNNNNNNNNNNNNNNNNNNNNNNNNNNUAAAGCAACAUGUAUGGAAUAUGUUCUUCUGUUGUUUAUUGUUUGUGCUCGUAAGUUAUAAAUUUAGAGCUCUUUGAACUACAAGGACAUUAUCCCAUAUUAGAGUUUCUUUAAUUGUUUGAGAUAUAGUAAAGCACCUGCAAAAAAAAGGCUAGUAAAAAAAAAUUCCUCCUUCUUACCUUCACUUGUGUUUACUUCAUAAUCUCUUACACUCAACUUCUUCCCUCAAGUUGAGCGUUUGAAAUCUAAUUCUCUUAAAUCAAGAUCUGCACGUUAGUCUUAAAGACACAACAAUAAGUCUUAAGGGGAUCUUGUUUUUAGAAGCUUAAAAUUAAGCACACAAAUGAAGAAGUUGUGAUGCUUUUAUUAAUAAUAUGUUAAGUAACUUGAAUGCAAUAAGCUACUUAGAUGUGUCUUGGAAUAAAAAUAUAAUUAGAAAAAAUAAACUUAGAACACAAAGAAACAAAUAUGGAUUUAAAGUGUAAGGGAUUUGAUCAAUCUUGAUGGAUAUAACAAGUAUCUUAUUCCUAAUUAUUCCACCCCAAUGAUAACUACGCUCUACGAUUGAUUAAAUUUCUUUAUUUAAAUGUAAAUCCAGACUCAAUGAUGUUGUGCUUGAAAUUAAAAUAUGAAGCAAAUGGUUUUCGCACACUUUUUGGUGAGGUAAUCUUCCUUUGAAAAAUAAAGGUUUUCAUCACACUGAUAGGCAAUUAAUCUCCCUUAGCUUGUAAAUGCAAACAUAAUGAAUGUUGAAUUGUCUUAUGAUGUGCAAUCACUUUUCUUUGAUUUUUUUGGAUUUUUUUAACUAAUUAAACAAAUGAACUUCUAUUUAAAAGAAUAAUUAGAUAAUAUCAAAUGGGAUGCAAUAAAAUGGAUUCAAAAUUAGGUGUUUGAUUGCUAAUUAUGCAACAAUAAUAUGCAAAAAAAUUUAAGAUAGUAGAUUCAAUGGUGCCUAAGCUCUGAUACUAAAUGAUGUGGGACCUCCAGGAUCAAAACACCUUGAUCAUGAACCCACAUCAACAGUAGCAAGCUGAAACUUAAUUUCCUAAUUAAAUCCUCCCUACUUGAACUAUAUUCAACAAUUUGAAUGCAAACCAAGUUGAUUGGGAAUUAAAAUAAGGAACAAAAAAGCCAUUACGACUUACCCGAUAAGUUGAUUCAGAUUUUUUGACUCAACAAGAUGGUUGAAGCAACCUCCCUUGAAGAACACUCACUCUCACACAUUAGUAAAACUUCUUAUAAAGAAUAAAACUUAAAGCCUUAAUUGAAUAAUCUGAAUUGUUGUGAUUAUAGCCUAAGGUCAGGCCUUUAUAUAAGCAUUCACCAGAAAAAUUCUAUAAAAACUCAAAUACUUGACUUUUAUUCAAACUCUAUCUAUAUUCUAAGUUUAUCUAAAUCUUAAGAUUAAAAUAAUAAUUAAAUACAUUAAAAUAAUCAUUUAAAUAAUAAAAUAAUACUUAAAAUAUCUAGAUAGAUAAUCCUCCUCUCUUUGGUCGGUCCUUGUGAAUUAUUCUGUGUGCGUUUUUGCUUCAUUUAGUUGUAAAGUCAUAAGAAACAUGUGAUUAAAAUAAAGAAAAAGCUUUCUCCUUCAACUCGCAUGAGUAAGGCCAUUGGGAUUGCCUUACCGCAGGUUUACAUCCAUUUGGUUUUAUCUUUUCUCCCUUUAUUUGCAUUCUUUUCAAUCUUAUAAGGAUUCUUCCCAUUGAUCGCUUAAAAAGAAGAAGUGCAACUUACGAAAGACUCUUAUUGCCAUAAAAACGACCUCCCUCACGUGAGAGGGAACCCCACGAGUGAAAGUUAUCUCUCCUGCACAUGUGUUUGCCUGCACAUGUGAACAAGAACAUUCACAUGUGUGCCAUGUGACAUCCGCGACUUUUCAUGUUCGGUCGACCUUGAUCUCGCUUUCUAUUGGGCCUCCUAACUGAGCUCUUCACUUACCCAUUCUUGGACCAAUAUGUUGAAAGCUAGUUGAAACUUAUUCUAACUUUUAACUUAUUAGCUUGACUCCUCGUGAUUGGGCCUAAGGGCAUUUAGAUCCUAUUUCUAACUCUUAAAUAUCAUCUUGAUUAUUUUUAGGCAGUCUUUAGGCUUGAGAAGGAUUAGGAAACAAGGAGGAAUUAGGAAAUGAGCUAGGCUUCAAGUUGGUUUCCUCUUUGGUGCUUGGGCUGUGGGUUUCUAAAUAAAAAAAUAAAUCCUUGCGGUAUUGGGAUUCUCCACAAGUAUUCUCCCAAGUACUGUCCGCAAGCACGCGAGGGUCUUCGAUUCCGCAAGCUAACUCCUUUGUCAUGUCUAGAUUCAUAUUAGUCUUUUGUCCUGAUAAUUAGGGACUAGCAAUGGCCUUUUAUUAUUUUAAAAUAUCUAGGAGCUCUCUCCUUAUUCUUUAUUUAGUUAUUCGACCACUUGAACCUUUUCUAAGACUCCUCGAUAUGUCACUAGAACGAACACAAUUACCUAACGAUAAAGGUCAGGCCUCAGUCCUCUCUCAAACCUUCGGGCCUUCUUAGCUCAUUCAUCAUCAUGUCCAGGGAAAACCACCUCAACUUAAUGAAUUUUUCUAAUUACUCUGCCACUGUGAACUUUGCUUGGUGCAACUCUAAGAACUCAUUUCUUUUUCUACUGUCUAAUGAAAUUAGGAAAAUACUCGGCGUUGAAUGCCUCUAAGAAAAUUUCCCAGGUAAUGGGAGGAAUCAUAGCUCUUUUCUUCAAGUUCCACCAAUGUUCUACUGCUCCUUUUAACAUGAAAAUAACUAAUUGAACCUUCUAUUUGGUAGUGACUUCUAUUACUUCUUUUUAAAAUAGUUUUUCUAUCUCUUUAAUCCACACCUCUACUAUAAGUAGAUCAAAAUGGCUUGUAAACACUGGGGGACCCAACUGUUUAAACCUCUCAUUGUUGCUGGAGUCAACACCUGCAUGAACCAUAUUUUGAUGUUGAUAGUAGGGUGGUUCCGGGCAUAAUUCUCACUCUUGAACAAUUGUCACUAGGCUCUCCACGACUUGGCACAGCUUGUUAAAAUAUUCCUAAUUGAGACCUUUUUGGGUUGGUUUAACCUUGUGGAGCAGGGGGGUGACCCUUAAUGAGUUAGAAGUGGUGUUUAUUGAACUGGGGGCCAGUCUUGAGGAGCUAGGGUUGGCCCUCUCUAAGGUCGACCUCUGCCUCGUUCACAUUUCUAUUAUUCUUGCAAUUCAAAGGUAUUUUCACCUAAGAUCAUAAGAGAAAUUCAAUUUCCUUCUAAUCUAUAUAAAUUCUCAAGUCUAUUGUACAAAUGAUGGUCCUAGGAAAGUUGUUGUGAUACCCACUAUAACAACCUGUGAUUUUGAUGAAAUCACAAGUAUCUAAACAUCUUGAACAUUUAAAAUGCAAUGUCAAAUUUGUAUGAAAAUGCAAAAUACAAAUUUAUCCAAACUCUCAUCUUUCUAAUUUUAGUUAGAUCUAAAUAAUUAAAAUAGUCACGUAACAUAUCUCUAAUCUCAAAAAACUAAGUAAUACUUCAGAGUCUGAAAACUUAUAUAUCAAUACUAAUCAAAGAUAACAUAAAUCUCAUAUACUUAGAGGGUCUAGUCACUAUCGUAACUAGUCUUGUAUUUGCUCUUAGGUUUCAUGUUCUUAAAAAGAAUGAAAAAGAUUGAGCUGCACAUGCUUAGUACGAACCAUUUAGUACCCUAACCUGCAUAAAUGUAAAUAGUACAAGUGAACCCUCAGUAUACUGUAUCUAAGUGAGACCGGAUUCAUUUCUAAAUGAGUGUUACUAAUCUCGAAUAUCUUAUUUAUUCGAAUUAUUCAUCACUUUAAAACAUUUUUCUAGACAUUGUUAAGUAUUUUACUUUUCUAUUUCCCUGUUAAUAGUAAAAUCAAGUAAUCACUCAACAUUUUACCCAUAAUGCAAUAUAAUUCACUUUUUCUUUUACUUUAAUAUCACUUAUCAACUAUAUAAUGACAAUUUAUAACUAUAACCGAUAGUGCGUCAAAACAUCUUCAUUGUCCAUUUUUUAGUACUAAAUUGAAUUUUUUUAUAUUUGAUUUAAGCUAUUUUAUUCAUUUUGAUACAGGAUAGAAGAUGGAGCCCUACGUCAGGAAAACAACAUAAACAGAGCAGAUUUUGUGAAGUAGUUGUCAAUCAUUGUAUAAGUUUUCGUCAAGGCUUAAACCCUGCAGCAAAGGCAGAUUUUGGCUCACACACAAUCAAGCCUCGGGCAAGGUUAAUGUAUCAGAAAGGGCUAUAAGUCUCAGUACACCAGAUUAAGCCUCGACCAAGCCUUAAACAUGUGCAGCAACAUAUUUGACAAAAAAAAGAUGCACUGUCGAAUUAAAAGAAGAAAUUUAGUUGCGCCCGAAAAAGGAAANNNNNNNNNNNNNNNNNNNNNNNNNNNNNNNNNNNNNNNNNNNNNNNNNNNNNNNNNNNNNNNNNNNNNNNNNNNNNNNNNNNNNNNNUACUAAGCCCACCAUGAGUGGCUGAUAACAUUCGUUGCUAGUUACAGAUUUAUUGAAAAUUCCAAUUUGAAUUAUGAGAUCUAAUUGCUUUAUUUAUGAUUUCAUUAAAGCUUCAGUAUUUGCUUAUUUCUAUGUGUGUAUUAUUAUUGUUGCUUGUUAACUGUUUGACUAUGGCUGGUUAGAUGCGUGACAAGGCAAUAUACUACCAUUUGAAAAUCCUGAAUCCGUAAUUAUUUGGGUUAUUUCGAUACUCAAUAGUAAAUUAGUCUUUAAGCUAAGGGAAUAGGUGAUCUGAUUGAACAGGUCACGUGGUUGAAUCUGACAACUAGAUACAGGUUCUUUUAGUUCUCAAGGCUGUUGAUAGAUUAAAUUCUAUAAACAUUUCCAAGACUAUUUAUCAAUAAAAAUAAACUAACAAAUAUUUUUUGGUUAAUUAAGGAUUAAGGAAGAAUCGGUUGUCGGAACAUUUUCGAUAACCAAAACUAGUUUGUAGAGCUUUAGUAAGACCGAUCAUUAUAUCGAUGGUCAAUUUCACUAUUGGAAUCUAGCUACUUCUUUAACUGGGAUUAUUCUUAUAUCUGUUAUUUCUUUGAUUGUCUUCUGUUCCAUUGUGUAAAUUUUAGCUUAGUAGUUUGUUUUUUUUCAUCGUUUAAACUUGAAGAAAAACCCCCUGCUCUUGUUUUCGUUGGUCAAAGAAGAAUACAAUAUCCGAAUUUGUUUUCAACAGAUAUUGCAAUGCCACAAGAGUAUGAAAAUAUAAUGACCUUAGUCUCUAAUAAAUAAGAGCAGAACUUUUUCAAGACAAACGCAACAGCAAGUAGUUAUUUUUCAGUGGUCGAGUAGUUGACUUGAACACUAUCUAGAUAUAAUACCCUGAAACCUCUAUAUUCGGAUAUUGUAUUUUUAAAUUUUAUAUUUUUGUGAAGAGGAAGGAGGGGAAGGUGCUUUAAAUAGCCUUCCCAAAUGAAUGUGAUCUGUUGGAUCACAUGUAAUUAAUGGUAGCCAUUGAUCGGCCAACUGGCUAAGUGGCCACCCCCACAUGGCGUGCAUGUGUGCCAUGUCGUAACCAUGCAUGCCCAAUAGUGGGCUAACAAGACAACCCAUCCGUCGAGGGUCACGCAAAGUGACCUUGCAAGUGGUUGCACACUUCAGGCGGACAACGCGUGCACCCAAGCUGACGCGACAGUCCCUGCAAACGUACAGGCAUGCGCGAACAAUCACAUGCGACGUCCCUGCGUGCGCAGCAAACACGUGGGCAUAGUCACAGCCUUUCACGCAGGUUCACAGGUCCUUUCCCUCCAUUUUUCUGUUUUUGUUUUAUCUUUUAUUCUUUUUAAAAAAUUUUAAAUUCUUUUUAGCUAAAACAAAAAUUAAAAAUUAAAAAUAAAUUCAUGCACAAUAUAAUUUAAAUGCAUAUUAAAAUUAAAACACUAUAAUUUAUUAAAAUAUAAAAUUUAAAAAUACAAUAUCCGAAUAUAGAAGUUUCGGGGUAUUAUAUCUAGAUAGUGUUCAAGUCAACUACUCGACCACUAAAAAAUAACUACUUGCUGUUGCGUUUAUCUUGAAAAAGUUCUGCUCUUAUUUAUUAGAGACUAAGGUCAUUAUAUUUUCAUAUUCCUGUGGCAUUGCAAUAUCUGUUGAAAAAGAAAAAAGCCAAAUCAAGACUAAUUCGAUGGAUACUCUAACUGCAGGAAUUCGAUUUAGAAAUAAGAGACAAAAGGGGUAUGGAGAAUUUUAUUGCUGAUCACCUUAGUCAUCUGCUGUUAAAGGAAGAGCUUAUGCCAUUGAAAGAUGAAUUUCCAAAUGAACACCUUUUCUGGGUAACGCUGUGGACACUCUGGUACGCUGACAUAGUCAAUUAUUUGGUCACCAACACAUUGCCAGCUAAAUUGUCCAGAGCACAAAAAGAUAGAAUCAAGAAGAAUAAUAGUAAUAUGUGUGAGAUGACCGUGCAAAUCAGAUCAUUCGCUGAUGCAUCCCUAAAGUAGAAGUUCCUUCCAUCCUGAACUUUUGUCAUUCUCAUGCUUGCGGGGACACUUCAGUCCUAAGCGCAUGGUGCGCAAAGUGCUGGAAUGCUGGUUAUUUUGGCCUUCCCUGUUCCGUGACGCAUAUAUCUAUAGUAAAAUAUGUGAAAUUGCCAACAUACAUGAAAUUAGGCCGCAAGGAUUAGAUGUCAUUAACACCCAUCCUAGUCUACGACAUCUUUGAUGUGUGGGGGAUAGAUUUUAUGGGACCCUUUCCAUCCUCCUUCGAAAACUCAUAUAUUUUACUUGCAGUGGAUUAUGUCUCCAAGUGGGUGAAAGUUAAGGCCACCAGAACCGACGACGCCCAAAACUGUUGUCAACUUCAUCAAAACCCAUAUCUUUGUUAGGUUUGGAGUGCCUCAUGCGAUGAUAAGUGAUAGGGGAAUACAUUUUUGUAAUCGAAUUGUGGCUUUAAGAAGUACCAUGUCAGACACCGUACCUCCACCACUUACCAUCCGCAGAUCAGUGACCAAGCAGAAGUUUCAAACAAGGAGGUGAAGUCCAUACUAGAGAAAAAAUUCAACCCCAACAAAAAAAGACUGGAGCUUAUGGCUAGAGGAUGCUCUAUGGGCCUACAUUACAGCCUACAAAACUCCUAUCGAAAUGUUAUCCUACUGCCUGGUUUUCGGUAAGGCCUACCACCUUCCUGUGGAGCUAGAACACAGGGACUAUUAGGCAAAUAAGAGUUACAACAUGAAGAUAGAAGAGGCCAAGCAACAUAAGAAGCUGCAACUACAGGAAUUGGAAAAGAUAAGAAAUGAAGCUUACGAAAAUUCACGAAUAAAUAAAAAGAAGAUAAAGUCCCUCCAUGAUCGAAUAGUCACCAAAAAGUAGUUUUUUUGUAGGACAGGAGGUCCUACUUUAUGAUUCCCAUCUGAAGUUGUUUCCCAGAAAAUUACGUUCUAAGUGGUUAGCCCCUUUAUUGUCACAAAAAAUUCCACGCCGGAGCAGUUGAGAUCAAGAGUCUAGACACGGAUAAAACAUUCAAAGUAAAUGGACACCGACUCAAGCCAUCUAUGAAAGAUUUGUAGGACAACAAGUUGAAGAGCUCAUCCUAGAAACCCCUACAGAUAACAACCGAUAGCGCAGAGGCAAUCUCUAGCCUAGGACAGUACACAAGGGUGUUUAACAAGAGGCAACCCAUUUUUUCUCGUUUUUUUUCUAUUUUCCUUAAAACUAUUUUGAUGUUUUUAAAAUAUAUGUGUUAUUAAGGUUUUAACCUCAAUCACUCUAACUGGAAUUUUCUUCUUUAUUUACAGGCUGUUGAAGAAACAAUGCAAGACCACUGGGUCACCAGGCUGUAAAGACUGCAUUACCCUUGCCUAAGGCUAAGAGCGAUAACCCAAGCCUUGCCCAAGACGAAGAGUGAUAACCCAAGCUUUGCCCAAGGCCUAGAGCGACAAGUUAAGCCUUGCCAAAGGGUUAGCGCGUGCCUUGUCUAAGGGUUAAUAACUUCACAAGCCUUUUCAUGGAUCGGAUGCAAGCCACAAGGCUUAAACCAUGGUAACAUAAGAAGUCUAGUUUAGAAAUAUUUAGAUAAUUCAUGCCCAAGGGUUACGUUGUAGAUGUGAUUGAAGUUUUAUACUGUGUAACCUUUGCCCAAGGCUAAAGUGAAAAAAAGAAAAAAAAAAUUCCCCUUGUGAACUAUCCACUAAGCCUUUGUCUAGGCUCAUGACACCUGACGUCCAUUUUAAAUUUAAAAUCCCUACCCUAAAACACCACUCCCCACUUUCACAAUCAAACUCUCACUCUUUUCCCUAAUCACAACCUCUCACCUCAAACCACAAGCUCCACCUAAGGAACACGCUUCACUGCAUGAUGCAAGCAACCCCUCGACCCCAUAGCAGAUGAACCUCUAGUGUCUCCCACCCCCUAGCCAACAAUACUAGGGGAUUAUUCUAUCCUUUCUUUUUCUCUUAUUCUGUUUUUUUUUUCAUUUCUUAUUUUCUGGUUUUCAUGCUACCUUGCUUGUGUCAAAUUGGGGACAAUGUGCCUUUUAAGGGUCGAAGAGGCACAUGCUGCACUUUUACGUUUCCAUUUUGGUCACAUUUUUUCUUUUAAGUACAUGCUGAUAUGCAUUCGUAGCCCUACCCAAGUCACACAUAACUACAUUUUCAACUAUUUUUAACCCCAUCUUUUCACUACUGCCUUGGUAUUUCCAAAAUAAUUUAACUGGUGUUUCAAGAACUAAAUUACAUUUUCAGUAACCUUCUAAGAUUUCUGACUUAUUUUUCAUCUUUUCACACCAUGAAGAACUAUUUCUAUUAAUAUGUCUUAACAUAACUUGUUUAGGAAUUGCAUUCAAUUGAUUUUCUCUUGUCCUGAGGUGAACACUAGUGCCUAGGGAACUUACACAACUAUCUGUCUGAAUUUGCAUGUUCAAAUUCACCAAAAAAAAGGAGAGAAAGAGCAUGAACCAUAAACUACUCGUCUAGUUGAAUGAAUUUAUAACCAAUUGUGUAACCCGGUGCAUUCAUCAUAAAUGUUUGUCAUCACGUCAAAAGGUUGGUAACAUUUAAGAUAGCCAUAAAAGUGUUAGUCAAUCGAUUAUGAAUAGUACUAGUAGCCUCUGAAAAUUGUGACCAGCUGAGUAACCGGGUGCAUUCAUCAUAAAUCUUUGCCCUCACAUAAAAAAGUUAAUGAAAUUUUAAGUCAACAAAAGAGUGCUCAAGAAGUAAUUAUUUUAAUUAUUUGUUCUCACAAUAACCCAUUUGCAUUAAGACUUUAUGUUUAGACAAGUUUAGUGUGGAUUUUACCCUAGUUAUUGGCUAUUCUUUUCAAGAUAAAAAUGUGUUCAAAAACCUACAAAACCUUUCCAUUUUAUGCUUGGAUAUUAUUCAAAGUAGUUAUUCUUUGGUGUGAUUCCAAGAAACUCAAGCCUAAAACUGCUAGUAAGGACUGUUUUUGCAAAUUUAAGAUUGAAAUAUAACAUGCAAGUUGUGGAAAAAUUAUUAAGGGCAGUAGGGUUGAGGGUGCAAGGUUGAGACUUGUUGAGUUAUAUUGUGAAGUGCUUGGAGGCAAGCACAAGAUAAAUGUGGAGGAGUUUAAUAGUGUGUAAAAACAUCAUCUUCAUUGCCCAUUUUUAAGUACUUAAUUGAAUUGUUUGCUAUCUAAAUUAAACUAUUUUAUUCAUUUUGAUAUAAGACAGAAGAUGGAGCCUAAGUCAAAAAAAUAACAAAAAAAGAGCAGAUUUCAUAAAGCAACUGUCAGUCAUGGUAUAAGCCUCAAUCAAGACUUAAACCCUACAGCAACAACAGACUUUGGCUCGCACACAAUCAAGCCUUGGGGAAAGCUAAUGCAUUAGAAAGGGCUAUAGGUUUUAGGUACACCUGACUAAGCCUCGGUCAAGGCUUAGACACGUGCAAUAGUAUAUUUUAAAAAAAGGCACAUUACCGAAGUAAAAGAAGAAAUCCCAUUGCAACCAUAAGAGGAAAUCAAGAAUCAAGGAAGAGAUUAUUUUGGAAAGCAAGAAGGAAGUCGAAAUCAUUAGGAAAGAUCUCUAUCUUUGCAAAAAGAAAACCCUAAUCCUCCUGGGGUUUAAAAGGAGAAGAAAACCAGAGAAGAAGGCAUCAUGGAUGCUACACACUGCAACACUUGUAGCUUUCUAAAAUUUUCUUCCUUUUUUCUCUUUUCAAUAGUCAUAAAACUCUAUUAUGUACUAAGCCCAUCAUGAGUUGCUGGUAACUUUCUUUUCCAGUUACAGAUUUAGUGAAAAUUCUAGUUUGAAUUGUGAGAUAUAAUGGCUUUAUUUCUUGUUUCAUUAAAGCUUCGAUAUUCGUUUAUUUCUCUAUGCGUAUUAUUGUUGCUCCUUGUUAACCAUUUGAAUAGGGCCUGUUAGCACGCGACAAGCAACAUACUACCAUCCAAAUACUAAUCCGUAAUUAUUUGGGUUGUUUCGAUACUCAGUGGUAAAUUAGCCUCUGAGCUAAGGAUAUAAGUGAUCUAGUUGAGUGGGUCACACGGUUGAAUUCGACAACUAUAACUAAGUUCUUCAAGUUUUCAAGGUUAUUGAUAAAUUAAAUUCUAGGAACAUUUCCAGAGCUAUUUAUCAACAAAAAUCAAUUAAUGAACAUUUUUUGGUUGAUUUAGGAUUAAGAAAGAAUCGGUUGUCAGAACAUUUCUGAUAACCAGAACUAGUUUGUCGAGCUUUAGUAAGACCAAUCAUUGCAUUAAUGAUUAAUUUCACUACUGGAAUCUAGCUACUCCUUUAAUUGGGAUCAUUCUUAUAUCUACUUAUUUCUUUGAUUGUCUUUUGUUUCUUUGUUUAAAUUUUAGCCUAGUAGUUUGUUUCUUUUCAUCGUUUGAACUUAAAGAAAAACCCCAUGCUCUUAUUUUUCGUUGGUCAAAGAAGAAAAGUUGUUCUUGAUUCCCUAAGGAUUCGACCCUAUUUACCACUAUUAUAAUUCUAUUUUGUUGGUUGAAUAUGACUUUUAUUUUUGGUGGAUUUGAUACCCAUAAACAAUACAUCUUAUUUUUUUCAUAAUUGGACACCUAUAUCUUAUUGUACAAUGUCAUUUAAAUCAUUAUUAAAGAGGGCAGUAAAGAUCACCUCUAUCAACGUGAACACAAUCAUAGAAAUAGUGAAAACUAAAAUAUGCUUCCACUAUACGGGACUCACUAAUCGACCGACAUCAGCAACAUACACACCCACCCCUCAACGGACAUAGUAUAGUAUAACAUAUUAGAUAUUUUUUGCAUGGGUUCACUAAUCAACCAAAAUAAGCCAUACACACAUCUAUCCAUCUGUAACACCCCACUCACCACUGUGUUUAAUUUAUAUUUGAAAAAUCCUAUUUAUUUGGGUCUUAUGGUCACACUAAACUCAUUUAUUUUAUUCCGCAGCUUAUUAUCGUGAUUCGUAAAUUAUGUUUAUUUUUAUUUUGUUUAAUUUUAUUUAAUUUUAUUUUGAUUUAAUUGUUUAAUCGUCAUUUUUUUUUAAAUAAACGAUUUUCAGAAAAAAUAAAAAAUAGGGAGAAAAAUCUUGCGAGAUUCUGCCCACGUGGGCGCCCGUGUGGUGUGUGCGCUCGUGCACACUUCCCAUCGCGCGGCGUAGAGGACAGGCCUGCGCACGCGUCUUGUCACGCACAGGCAGGACCUGUCCACGUGCGUCACAUUGCGUGCAAACAGGUAGGCGCCACACACUGUGUGCGGCCAUUCGUGCAAUAAGCCUGCAUGAAUUGGCUUGCGCGCCUUGGGCCUGUGCUCGGCUCCUCACCACGCCUUGGCCCUGUGCACAUAGGCCAGUUCCUGCGGCAGGGUAGACUGGCGCCUAAAGGCUAGGCCUACAAUGAGCACUAGGCAAAUGAGGCCAUUGCCACCUCGGACAGUGUGUCGUCGCCCAUCUUGGGUGGCAUGCUGCUGCUUAAGGUGUCGCCACCAGUGGAGGAGGUUUUUUUCCUCCGUUUUUCAUACUAAAUCUUUUUACUCUCUCUCCACCAGAUUUUACCACUUGGCACAAAUCCAAUGGCCUCCAUUUUCUAUAAAUAUGGGUCUUUCCUCCCAUUUUCUCUUCACUUUCAUUCUUCCACCUUUCAAGAGUUAGAGAGAGAGAAUGAGAGUGAUUUAGAGAGAGAAUGAGAGGAGAAAAAGAAGAAUGGUGUAGAAAAAAUUAUCAAGGUUUCGAUAAGAAAUUUAGUAUUUCUUUAGACAUCUUAAUGGAUAUUUUUAGACAAAAAAAAGGAUUAAAUUGAUAAUUCUAUGACUUUACGUAUUUUGCAUGCUCUAUGUUAGUAGACUUAAUAAGUUGAAUUGUUCUUGAUUUCGAGCAUACUAUAUGAGUUAUAGAUACUUGAUGAUUUGCAUAUAAUUAAAAUAAUAUAAAACAGGUAAGGCUAUAUAGAAAAAAAAAAAAAAAAAAAAAAGUAGAAUAAAGUAUGAAUGGUCCGAAGUAUGUACCUGUAUUGACAUGCAUAACGCAUUAAGUAUCUCAUUAGACUUUUUAUCUCUAAGGAGUAUCUAUUCCUCUAUCCCCAUUCGGGAUAUUUUUUUUUCCUCCCCCAUCUGGUAUGGAAAGACGUAAAAGGAAUGUUCCUUAUAGAUGACGGCAUACCCUCUGACGAGAGUAGUGAUGCAAAUAUCUGUUAGGAGUCACAUUUAGUUAAAUAUUUUCGUAACUAUAGAAUAUUUUAUAGGAUCACUAUGCUUGGUACGACCAUGGUCAUAGAUCGUACCAUGGUUUGGCAAUCCGGAAAUGUCUCUGAGUAAAUUGUCAUUAUCUCUAUCUAAUCUGGUCAUUCUAAAUGGAUAGUCGAAAAUUUAUAUCUGCCUUCAAAGAUAUAAGCCGUAACGACUUUACGAAGCAUGACACAAAAAUCUGAGUAUUUCAUUAUUUAUUUGAUUUUCUCUAUUGUUAGGUAUACUGUGUUUUAUUUUAAUUGUUGACUAUAACGUGAUUUUUUUUAAUAAGUAAAUUAUUUUCAUAAGGUAAGAUAGAUCUACGACGUACCUAAAUGGUAAGUAUUUAUGUUAGAAUUAUUCACCUUUUAAAACCUUAUGAUGUUAACUAAAUACUAUUUUUCUUACUGAGCAUAUGAAACUUACUUUUUCUAUGCUCCCAGAUGAGGAAGAUGAUGAGGAACCAUCAGCUGAUAUACCCAUUGAACUUUAUGAGGAUCCCAUAGAUCUGCAUACUUUGAGUGCAUGAUCGUCCUCGCACUCUGAUGAGUCCAAUAGUAUAAUGAUAGAAGUGGCUCUCUUUUGUAUUUUGACAUUGUAUUUUCCGGUCACUUCUGGCCUCACUUAUAUAUAUAUAUAAUUGAAACUCAUAUAUUUAUAAGGAAUUUGUAUUAAUUUGCUUUGUUACAUAUAAUUUUUAUCAUGCACUCGUAAUUUUUUUUCUGUAUCUGACACCUCAAUGCCUUAAUUAGCGUCUGAGAUGUCACACCAUCCAAGAACAUAACCACUGCAAUCACAUCUAUAUCAUACCGCAUAGCAAGUACAAUGCACUAUAAGUGUAAUUACAUCUAUACCGGACUACAUAGCAAGUACAAUGCACAUUACCAUAAAAUAUCUUUUUCGUCCACGUGAUAGGUUUCAUCAUCAACCAUAUCGACCGAAUCUCGGCCACACACACGCAUUAAUUUGCUUUCACAUUUUGAUUUGAAUUUUCCCUUUAAUUUUAAAUUUUCGCUCAAUAGAUUAUAUAUUUAUUUCAUACCUUUUUUUUUAGUUAAUUAAUUUCUUUCCUUACGUAUUUUUCUCUAACUUUAACCUUCACAACGAACUUAACAUUUAAUAUCAUUCCAUUAAUAUUUUAUUCGUAUAGUUUCAUUAAUAAUUUUUGUUUAACCCUAUUUGUCUAUUUAGUUAAUUUUUUGUUGUACAUUUAUGACAAGGUUUAAUACUAACCCCACUCACAACCCUAUCGUACAUGGUAUUCUUCGAUAUAUUUAUAAAUAGGCUCUAUAAUAUACUUCUAAUUUAAUAUUUUUAUUAAUUUUUGUUGGUGAUAUUAAUUUCAAAUCCACUUCUGGUUUUAAUUUUUGGACCAAUAUCCUUAGUCAACCUAUUAGACAUUUUAUUUUGACCCAUUAUAUCAUUUUGGAUAAUUAAUUCACUCUUAUCAUAUGUUAUCAUUAAUACUAUUAUUGUUAUUAUAAUUAUUAUUACUAUAACUUAUUUAUUUAUUCUUUUCUUCCUUUUUGGGUCUCUAUUCAGUGGCCCACUUUCCUAUUGCCCAUUAAGAUAAUAGUUUUGAUUUUAGAAAAAGACUUGGCUCUACCCUUGAAAUUUCUAGUUCUGACUCCUUUAGAAAUUAUAUUUUCGGGCUUGACUCGUUUAAGCCAUUGGUUAGGAACCAUCUAUCUUUUAUAGGCUCAACCCAUUAAUAUGUUUUAGGUUCAGCCCAUUCAGAAAUCAAUUCCCCAUAACCCUAAAGUUUCCUACAUCUUAUCUCUCCACCCAUGAACACAGAAGGGUUUACAAAUUAUAUUUGUAACACUUCAUUUAUAAUCACAUGUAUAGAUUCCUAAUAGAUGAAAAUGGGUGUAUUUGGUCGUUUCUAAUCUACCAUUUUAAAGAUAUAUUUUAGAUAAACUAAUUUAGGAAUUGCUUCAGAUGUAUUAAAUUACAAUUAUGGGUUAAGAAACUAAAUCAAUCUUAGUCUUCUUAGAUUAAUGAUGGUGUGAGUUUGAUUUGCGAUGAUGAUUAUUGCUUUUCCCUAAGCUACACAUACACAAAAAAAAAAAAACCCACUUUGUCAUGAAAACCCAAAUCGACGAUGAAGUUCAUCCCAUUUUUGGGUCUAUGAAAAUGAAGGAAACACUUACCAAGAGACUCACCACUCAUUGCAUAAAUGUCUAAAAUCCCGAAUUAACUUCUAGCCUUAAGCCUUCUGCUGCACCUUCACCUUCUUCAACCUUUCGAAACACUUUCCCUUCUCUCUUCUGUCGCUUCGUUCGGGUUUAGGAUUAAGGUUUGUGUUUACUUUUUUUU
rnacentral:lncRNA from 1 species